rnacentral:rRNA from 1 species
AUGGACGACGAUAUCAAGACAGGAGUCCCGUUCAAGGUUGUUCGGUACUUGCCUUUAGUUCCAGGGUUGAGGCGUUUGUUUGCAAACCCUAGAGAGGCAAAGAGGUUGCGGUGGCAUCAUGAUGAGCGAAUUGCGGAUAGGUAUAUGAGGCACCCGAAAGAUGGGGCUCAGUGGGAAUUAAUCGACAAAAAGUUUGAAAAUUUUGCCAAGGAUCCUAGAAGUAUAAGGCUCGGGGAGUGUACUUACGGGAUGAAUCCUUUUUGCGAUAUGAGCACCAAUCACAGCACAUGGCCGGUGCUUCUGUGCAUAUAUAACCUAGCUCCUUGGUUGUGUAUGAAGAAAAAAUACAUUAUGAUGUUAAUGAUUAUCCAAGGCCCGAAGCAACCUAGAAAUGACAUCAACAUUUACUUUCAGCUACUAGUAGAAGAACUGUUGACAGUGUGGAUUUAUGGGCCUGCUGUAAAAUGUUAUGAUGCUUACAGAAAGGAGAUUUUCGAUCUACAUGCCAUGCUGGUGCACACCAUUCAAGAUAUGCCAGCAUUAGGUAACACAACGGGGCAGAAAACAAGGGGAGAAGUAGGGUGUGUCACAUGCAUGGAUAGGACAGCUAGCAGAAGACUUCCCAACUCGCACAAAACAAUGUAUUUGCGUCAUCAUAGGUUCUUACGGAAAAAUCACCGAUAUCGAAAGAUGAAAGCUGAAUUUGAUGGUACCGUAGAGGCAGCUGUAGCCCCAAGACCCUAUGAAGGGUGGUGGUCCACAACAUGGCUAAAAAAUUAA